GCCCUGUGUAUAAGGGUGCUGAGCGCCAUUUUUGGCCCUUCGAGCACCGCGCCGACUUUGAACUGAGGUGACUGAGAAAGGGAGGGUCUGGAAGAUAUCAAAGACCUUAAUUAUCAAGAAUCGAGAGGGUGUUCAUCAUUCACCUGAGAAGCGUCUUCCUACAUAUGGCCUACCAUCCACACCAGAACACUCAGGUGGCCUUUGGCGGUAAAAAAUAUUCUGGACCUGUAGCUGAUUUUGCUUCCCGGGUAA